rnacentral:snRNA from 1 species
AUACUUACCUGGCAGGGGAGAUACCAUGAUCACGAAGGUGGUUUUCCCAGGGCGAGGCUUAUCCAUUGCACUCCGGAUGUGCUGACCCCUGCGAUUUCCCCAAAUGCGGGAAACUCGACUGCAUAAUUUGUGGUAGUGGGGGACUGCGUUUGCGCUCUCCCCUG